GAGGCGCAACGCUGUUGCUGGGCCAGGUGUGAUCCAGCCUGAAGGCCCAGCCUAGGCAUCAGGGUGAGGGGCGGGGCGGGGCAUGCUCACGGCACCUGCUGUGUGCCUUACCUGGCACUGCUUGCUUCAGUCACCCUACUCACCUGGGCUGGCCGGCCCCCAGGUGGCCAAGCCCCUCCGGGCCCGGGGCUCCAGGUCCAGCACCUUGGCCCUGCUGCUCUGCUCUGGCCUCCUUCCUGUGGUCACUCUCCUUGCUCCACGCCUCCUCCUCCCAGGCCUGCGGGGCCUCUUUGCUGUGGGAAGAUCCGGCCUCUGGCUUCUCUCGGGCCUGGACGCCUGUCGGGCAGCCCCUUCCAGGGGGCUGAGGCAGCACCAUGUCCGUGUCACAGAUGAGUGAGGCGUGCUGGGUGUGAAGGCCCUUGUGCAGGGAGGGCCUCCGGUAGAGCCGGGCUGGGUGGGUGGGAACUGCUCCCUGGUGUCAGGGCAGCUGGCAGGUCUGCACUGCUGCCCCUGAAGGCCCUGAGCCUGGGCCUGGGGGUGGGGGGGAAUCGGGCAGAGGGCUUGAGAGGGUCUGAAGGCCCCAGCAUGUGCAGAGGCCCUGGGCCUGAGGAGGCCAGGCCGGAGGAGAGUACUAGGCCUGGGGGAGCUGCGUGUGGGGGCCGGGUGGCGGGGCCCUGCGAGGUCCCUGUCUUCAUCCUGAGCAUCAGCAGGGUCCAAGCACAGGGGCCUCGUGGUCAGACCUGCUCGGCCUGGCACCUGGAGAGCUGGGCCGAGGGCCGAGGCAGAUGCCCUGGCCCAGCCCAGCUGAGGGCGUGGAGCCCAUCGCACCCCUGCUGUCCGCUCCAGUCCGCGGCUCACCACACCCUGCAUCCGGCGCCACCUGCCCUGUUGCCCCACCUGCAUCUCUGUGACACUGACUCCGCAGUGCCUGAUAUGCUCUGGAUCCCUCCGGUCCGUGGCCGUCGCAGGACGGCAAGGGGACAAGAGGGCAGCCUGAGCGCCUGUCUAGAAGACCACAUGCCAGCGGGCACAGGCCGCUGCCCACGCUGGGGAGGCCGGAGCUGGGCUUGGCGCUCUCUCCAGCACUUGGUCUGGUGUUCGUCCCUGCCUGGCCCCACCCCAGCCUGGGAGGGCAGAGCGCCCAUGUGCAGGUGCCACCUGGGCAGGGCUCAGCCCAGUGGUCGUGGUUGGCGGGAAGGCAAGUGGAGCUCAGAGUUGACCCAGGCUGCCCAGGGCUGAGCCACCUGGAGGGCUGGGAUGGGGGUGAGGGUCGCCGCUCCUGGGAAAGGCGUGUGGCUGCUGCCCCCAGGAGCCCAUUGUGGGUACUGCACCUAGGAUGUGCUGGGCUGCACCUUGACCCAUCGGGAAACCGGGUUUCACCCGGGGCUCGGCAGGAUGUGGGUCUCAGUCCCACCUGCCCUUUUCUGCCAAACCCCAGAACCUGCUCGGUCUCCACAGAUUGGUCCCCGACCACCCUCUGCGCCCCUGGCCUGCAGACUCCCCGAGUGGGCUCUGCCUGCAGUGAGUAGAGCCAGGCAGGGGUGGUGGCAGGAAGUCCCCAGGGAGCCUCGAGGUUCUUGUCCAGGGCCUGCAGCUCUGAGGCUCGUCAGCCAAAGGACAGAAGACAGUGGCAGAGAGGAGACCACAAGGGGACAGCGAGGGGCACUGGCGAUCCCAGAUCUCUGCCAGCCAAGAGGACCAGCUCAUCUUUAGCUCACUAAAGAGAUCAGGCUUGCCAGCCAAGAUGUGCACUGCUAGUGGAAAUAUCUCUUAAAAAGGGUGAAAUAAAGAUGCUUUAAGACCAGUGUUGAAGUUUCAUCAUCAACAGACCUAGAGUACAAGAAAUGCCUAGGUUGGAAAUAUUCAGGCUGAAAGAAAAUGAUGGGUGUAAACUUAGGUCAGACAAGGAAGAGAAGCCCGCCAGAAAUCACAGUAUGUGGGUGUAGGAGAGAUGUUUUCCCUGUGCAUUAAUUUUUUCUUUAAAAGAUAUUAUUUAAAGCAAAAUGUAAAAGGAGAAUGUAUUAUAAUAAAAGCACAAAAGACAGGCAGAGACAAUGGAAAUGUCAUUGUAAAGUUCAUACAUUUUACAUACUAUGGCAUAAUGUCACUUACAGAUAAAUAAUAAUAAGGAAAAAUACUGAAAACACUAGAACAGACACUAAAAAUUAAGACAGAGUCAUAGCUAAUAAGCCGAGAGAAAAGGCAACACAGAAUGAGGAAAUAUUAAUAUUAAUCCAAGAAUCAAGAGCAACACAUUGACCUGUAUCCAUCGAUAUCAGUAAUUAUAUUAAAUGUGAAUGGGUUAAACAUAACUGAUUAAAAGAUAAAGACUGUCAGACUAGACAAAAGCAAAACCGAAUUAUUUGAUGCUUAUUAUUAAAAAAGAUUCAAACAGAAAGACAAGGAUAGAGCCGAGGUCAAAGCAGGUCGAAGAUCACGAGAAAGGCGUGGUCAUAUUAGUGUCAGACAUGUGGACUUUGGAACAGGAACAUUGCUGAAGGAAAGGGGGACUUGUCAUAGUGACAAAGGACUUGGUGGAUCAAGAAGACCACAAUCCUGCAUGUUCCCACACAGUAACUACAGGCUUUCAAAAUGCAUGCAAAAAGAGAUGACCCAGACCAGACUGGAAGGGAAAACCUCUCCCAGCAAAUGAUGGAACAAGAAGGUGGAAAAAUCAGCUAAAGACUUGCCCAGCUCCUCCUGACUGACAUGCAUCGAGCCCGGUGCCUGUCGAUUGCAGAAUUCACGUUCUUCUCAGGCGUGGAUGGGAAGUUCACUGAGAUGACAGUUUGUUAGGCUGGAAAGCGAAGCCUGGAACAUGACAACAAUCAAAAUCACGCAGAUCAUGUUCCCUGACCGCAACAGGACAGAUGUGGAGACCAAUAGCACUAUAGUAUUUGUGAAAUUCCUGAAUAUUUGAAAAUUAAAUAAGGCAAAGUAACCUAAAGGUCAGAGGAAAAACUGCAGGAGGUAUUACAAAAUGCCUUGAACUGAGUUAUGAUGAUAAAACAAAAUGUGUGGGAUGUGCCUGCAGCCGUGUAUCAAGGGAAAUGUAUGGCUUCAAAUGCUUAUGUUAGAAAAGCCAUAUUAGAAAUCAGAGUUCUGCACUUUCAUCUUUAAAUGUUAGUGCCCGGUGUGGUGGUGCACACCUGUAAUUCCAGCACUUGGGAGGUUGAGGCAGGAGGAUCAUCGUGAGUUUGAGGCCAGCCUGGGCUACAUAGUGAGUUCACAGCUAGCCUGGAAUAUAUAAUAAGAUCCUGUCUCAAAAGCAAAAAAAGAAAGUAUAAAUGUUAGAAAUUUUAGUGCAAAUUAAAGCCAAAGACAUAGAAGAAAUAAAGUAAUACGUCAACGGAAAUCAGUGUAGUAGGAAAUAAAUCCACAACAGAGAAAAUCAAUAAAAGAAUAUGAUGAUUAUCUGACAAAAUCAAUAUGGUCGUUAAUCUCAGGUUGCUCAGGAAAGAGAAAAGACUCCAGUUGCCAACAUCAGAGAAAAGAGACACACAGACAGGAAUAAGGUGGGCACGUUGCCGUAGGGUCAUCUUCAAUGAAGCGGGCAACUCCUCGAAGGACAGGAGUUCAUCAUAAUUUGUGCAAGGAUAGACAGAAAAAAAUAGAAUUAUUACAACCAACAAACGAGCGACACCUUCCUCAAAGGAGGUGCCAGACCCUGAGGGCACGGCACUGAAUUCAGUCAAUGGAGAGGAGGAAACGGUCCCCAUCUUAGUCUUUUAGAACCCGAGGAAGAGGGUGGUUGCUUGGCUCACUUUCUGGGCCCAGUGUUACCCUGACACCAGCACUGAGCGUGUCCCGAGGAAGGAAAGCUGCAUGCAGGCCAGCAUCCUUUGUGGACUUAGGAGCAGAAGUCCUUAGAGACCACACCCAGCUCUGUGCAUAGUGGAUGAUACUUCAAACCAAGGGUGAGUUCAGUGCAGUAUUUAAAAAUCACUGGGCAGAACUCAGCACAUUCACAGAAUAAAGACAAAAGUCACCAGACUGUAGGUAGAGGAAAAGCCUUUGACCUAUACCCCAUGUAUUAGUAGCAAAGAUCUCGGAAACAGAAAUUCUUUGCUUGCCCUGGAGGGAGUGGACAGCAGGCCAGGCUCUGAGCCGGGUGAAACAGUCCGCUCCACCGCAUCUGCUUCACAUCAUCCUGGCCAGAGCUGUAGGCAGGAAAAGCCCAACAGAUGCCCUCCUCUCUACUGGUGACCUGGAUGUGGGUUGGAGGACCCCAAACAUGAAACACUGCAGGUGAACUUGAGCCCCUUCCAGUCCCUUGGUCUCUUCUCCCUCUCUUUCCUUUCCGGAGGAAACUGCCACACCAAAAUGGGUAUUUAUCCAUCUCAUUUGUCUUUCUGUUCUGUUGCUAUAGCAUGUACAGCCAUAAGGUCUGCAAUGUUGCUCUGUGUAUUUUUUUUUUCUGUACUAGGACAGAACCCAGGUUCUCACACAUGCAAGGCAAGUGCUCUACCACUGAGCUACAUCCCCGGCACUUUUUAUUUUAUUUUGAGACAGACUCUCACCAAGUUGUCCAGGCUGACCUCAGAUCUGCAGCCCUCCUGCCUCAGCCUCCAGAGCACUGGGAGUACAGGUGUUAUGUCCCAUGUGUCUUUAAACUCUGCAGAUGACCUCAAGCAGAAAGUCUGUGCACGCAAGUCCCACGCUGAGUCCUGACAGGGCUCAGGCAGCCAGAGGCCAAGUGGAGCGGCCGAAAGCAGACCCCGGCAGCACCAAGUGCUAGUGAGAACAUUGGCAACCGCAGGUCCUGGGCACCGCUGGCAGAGGGCACAGUGGAGCAGCUCUGGGAAACAGUGUGGUGGUUUUUUCCAAACUGAAGCCUGCCGUCUGGCCAUCACCAUCCAGGGAUUUACUCCGAGUGAACAACUUAUGUCCACAGAAGAACAGGUGUUCAAGCAGCUUAUUUAUAACAGACAAAUCAUGGAGGCAGCCGAGAUGGUCUGCAGCAGGUGGAUGGUGGGGCCAGCCCGAGAAAUCUGAGACGGUCCCUCCCCAGGCACAGCCUGCAGCUUCUCGUGAGCCGCCACCUGGACGCCCAUCAAGCCCCACCUGCCACCUGAGUAUCUCUGCCAGAUCCUGGGUGCCGGCAGCACCAUGGCCACUGCCUGCCCUUCCUUGGUGGCCCUUGUCCACUUCCCGUCAAUGGACAGACACUGCGUGACUUACGCACUGGGCACCUUGAGGCCGGCCUCCGGGUCAAUGCGCGUUGGCUGUGGCCUGCAUUGUAAAAGCUGAUCCUGCUCUGUGCUGUCUCACUGGCUUGCUGGACCUUCCUGGGGUCCUGGGGGACCAGGAAUCUGGGGGCUGCAGCCUGGGUCCCAGGGCUCGGGUGGGGGCCCCAGGUCGCCUCUGGAAAGUUGUUGUAACUGCGGAAUUCAGUUUCCCUAAGGCCCUGAGCUGCAGGCCUGGACUUGUUCUCUUCCCCUUCCGAAUUAGAUCCAGCUGGGGUGCGGGGGAGGAUGCCGUUCAGAGGCCGUGGGGAGCAGAGAUGCAGGAACCCCCCGAGCAACCUACACUGUGGGACGCCCUGUUCUGGGUCCCUGUGGCCACAGGGAAUCCACCUUGGCACUGGCUGCUGUACCCUAAAUAGUACACAUCUCGAGUUUGGGAACUUUUGCUGUGUGAGAAAUAAGGUUGACGGUUCUCUCAGGCUUCCCAGCAAAUGCCCAGUGCGCUCACACUUGGCCCAAAACAGGCCUAAAGGGGAAUGAAAAAGCACUUCUCUUCCCAGAAAACAGAUUCCUCAUUGACACAUUUUCUUUUUUUCCUCCUGUAGGUUUUUCUCCCCCCCUGUUUGCAAAAUGGGUCCUUUUUCCUCGGUCUUUAUGUAAGGAACCGGCAGCAGGACAAAGUGUGCUUGUCAGCAAUAUCCCAAGGCCGCAGUCUCCUUUCCUCUGCCCACAAUGGGGCCAUUAUCGGCCUCGCACUGGUCCCCGGAUUUUUCCUGUCCCCUCCAGGGCUAAUGAGCAGGGAGGCUGCCAGGCCGAACAAAGUGGGGCGGUUUUCACUCAACUGGAGCCCUGGCGUGGCGAGCCCUGGGCAGGGCCUUUACGGGGUGUCCGCCUGUCAUUCGAUCAGCACGAGUGACUUUUGGGAGCACGGCCAUCCAUCAGCGAUUUCCAUAUCGGUUAGGAAUGGCCCCGGUGCGGCUUCCGUUCGGGACUCUAGUCUUGCCGUUGACCCUAAUCGCAUACUCAUUCUAAAACAAAACGGAACGAAACAAAAACUGAACCAAAUUUGAAUGCAAUGGCAAUGGACGGGCAGGUGGGUCCUGCGCACACGUUCACCUAGGUGCACACGUACUUCCCGUUACCGAGCGCACACACACGCUCUCUCGAUCACACGUGUGCUGGUGCUGCGCCCCGCCGCCCGCGCUCUGAAGAGGAACUGCAAGGGUGCGUGAGAGGCGUGCGGGGCUUGUGGAGCUGCCUCUGCUCUCAGCUGAACUGUACUCGUGGAAACUCAAGCUGCCUUUGUUUAUUGUAUUUUUUUUUUCCAAAAGUGGUCAUUUGGAUCAGUGACAGAAAAGGAUAAAACAAACAAACAAGAAAUGGAAUGGAAAAAGGAACUCUUCUCAGAAUAAUGCAAGAAUGUCUUCAUCACAGUAUCACUCGAUGCUACAGAGUUCAUGGCUCCUGAUACCCGGCUGGCUCCGAGGCUCCGAGGCCCCGAGCUGUGCCCCAGCAUCCCAGCGAGGGUGCCCGUGCUGAGCCUGGCUCCCUGUGCCCCACCCGGCAGCAGUGCGGGGCGACUCCUUCUCUCCCCACCCUGAAUAGCACAGUGAAUACAGCUCAGUAGAUUUCAGUCGCUUGGGCAGGGGACAGGGGAUGGGGCCGCAAUCCAGUGCUUCGUGGCUUCGCAUCAGAACACGUGAUAUGUACUUAGCGAGUGCUUUGCGAUCACUCCUGAGAGGCCUCAGGCAGAGGAAGCCACGCAUGGCCCUGAGUUGGCAAGGCUGGACCUGGGCCCACGGCUUGGGUCCACCAGUGCCUGACGAACCAGCUGCAUUCUGGGCCUUGGGAAGGAGGCCCUGCCUGCCUGCCUGUCCACUGCUACACACCCCCAGGGUGUGCACAGGCACCUGCGGGGUGCCACAUGUCCUACUCCAUGGUCCAGGGAUGACAGCGGCUACAGGGUGCCAGGGGCUGGGGCUGGAGGGUGGUGGAGGGGAGGUGCCAGGAGCCUGAAUUUCCGUCUGGGGCUGAGUGCCCGCUGUCCAAAGGAGUUAGGUCAGGGCAGCAGUCGGGGCAGCCCGGCCCCAUGGCAUCCCUGGCUUGGAGCCUUGACCCUGACCAUCAUCUCAGGUAGCGGUCAGCAGCCCAGCUGUCCGGUCCCACCUCUGUCCAUGCUACCAGUGAUGUGACCGCCUGCUGCCCGGGGGGCAGGCUCUCGGACUGCUCACCCCAGGCCUGGCUCCUGCCCCUAGCUGGUCUCCAGGUUCUGAGGACUCGGGGCCUGAGCGAGCUGGGCGCAUCUGGGCCGGUGCUGCUGCCAGGGCAGAGAAGAGCAGGGGCUGGAGCUGGGUCUGGGGCCAGCGUUGAGGCCACGUUUCAGGGAUGUCCCACUGCAGGAGAUAAGUGCUUUCUCUGUCAGGGAUGCAAGGUCAGAGCCUCCCAAAUGCUAAGUGCUGGGGCCUGAGGGGCUGAGUGUUCAGGAGGAGCUGGGGUUGCUAUCACCAUUUCCAGGGGGGGACAAAAAUAUAGGACGUAUAGGUCCAACCAGGGCUCCUGGGAAAGGGGGAAGAGGAGGAUGGUAGAGAAGACAGUGCUGGGGGAGAUCAGCCCGGAACGACAGAACUGGACAGGGGGCUCCAUAGAGCAGUCAGAGGGAAGCCCCUCAAGAUGCACCGAGGUCUCCAUCCAUCCACACUUCCCACUUUGGAGAGUCACAUCGCAAAAAAAAGCACACACCGUAUUCUUUCGCAGAAGAAAUCAUAUAAUUUGGGUUUACAGAAAUGGGGUGUUUGUGUGUGAGGCUGCAGUUUUACAGGGAUCCCAUCUAGAUUAAGAGGAAAUUGGAAAUUCCUUUCCGGUACCCGGCCGGCCUGGAUGCCACGGACGCUUAUGCCAAGGCCUGAGCUUCUGCUGGAAAAUCCUGACGGAGCGUGGCAGUGGCUCCUCCGUGGGCCUCUCCAGUCCAUGCAGGUGGUGGCUCUCCGUCUUGCCAUGUUGCUUGGCUUUAGCAAAAGGAGACCCCUUUCCCAUGAGCUGUGGGUCUGCGUGGCCCACAGAGACUUCCCUGUCUCCAGCCCCCAGGCCAAGCCUGCAGAGCCCGGCACCGAUGCAGGCGAUGUUGGUGGCCCAGAGUGCCUGGGACAUGCAUGGGACAAGUCCUCUUGGACAAGCCCUGCUGCCCCCUUGGACGCACACUGACAGAUGUCCCCGGCCUGACACAAAUCCACACAAACGUGGCUUGCAUCACAAUAGUUUGCAUUUCUGCUCUUCUUUGUUUAAGGGCAACUUGGGCCAUCUUUUUCUUCUCCUCUUGUUGGGACACUCAUUACUUU